UACGAAGGGGGCUAGCGUUGCUCGGAAUCACUGGGCGUAAAGGGCGCGUAGGCGGGCCUUUAAGUCAGAGGUGAAAGCCUGGAGCUCAACUCCAGAACUGCCUUUGAGACUGCAUCGCUAGAAUCAUGGAGAGGUAAGUGGAAUUCCGAGUGUAGAGGUGAAAUUCGUAGAUAUUCGGAAGAACACCAGUGGCGAAGGCGACUUACUGGACAUGUAUUGACGCUGAGGUGCGAAAGCGUGGGGAGCAAACAGG
rnacentral:rRNA from 1 species